AACUCUUAGCGGUGGAUCACUCGGCUCGUGCGUCGAUGAAGAACGCAGCCAGCUGCGAGAACUAAUGUGAAUUGCAGGACACAUGAUCAUCGACACUUCGAACGCACAUUGCGGCCUCGGGUCCAUCCCGGGGCUACGCUGUCUGAGGGUCG
ensembl:rRNA 5_8S_rRNA 5.8S ribosomal RNA